CGUAACUUUAAGGUUAAGGGUGAUUGAAUGUUUAAGUUUUUGUCUCAAAAUUCCGCUGCAUUCAAGUACUGUUGGAAGGUUUAGAGUUUCCGAAGUCAUUUUUCAAUUUGGUAGAUGCUACAAAGAAGACUUUUUAUAUUUUCAUACUAAAAGGAUUUUAAAAUACACGGCUAACUGUUACCUUUGAUAUUAAAUGUUGUUUAACUACGCAGAAACACUUUUUAAGCUUUAUAUCAGAGGUUUCACCCCAUACUGGAUAUUGUAUUCUACUAGUACACUCUGCAGUACCUAAAAUCAUAAAAAUAUUAACUUGAUAUCAUGGUUCAUGCAAAUAAAUAAAUAACCUAUUUUGCUCUUCAUGGGCAGACUUUUGAUGUAGCUAAUCCGUGUUUGAGUGUGUUUUUUUUUUUUUUCUCAGUCUGUCAUUUAACCGAUUAUUCUGAUAGCACCUGAACGCAGCAUAGGGCACCUGCCUGAGGACCGUUGCAGCACGUCACAUUUCCUUCAAAUUUUCAACCCUUCGAUGCUGUUUUGCCCGCCAUUUAUUUGGAGUACAGGAGAUGAGAAACGGAGGGAGACAGGACGACUGAGGCUGACACAUAGAAAAUUAGCCGUCUGCACCGGCGGCUGCCCCGCCAGACGACGACGACAUGGGCCUCGAGUGAAGAACUAGAGACAAAAAAAGACAGAACGACUGAAUCUGGUGAGCGACCGACCGCGGUUUUCUCUGUCCUAAGUUUGACCUAAAGUUUGCAUUGACUGUUAAAGCAGUGGGGAAAAAUAUUUUCAUUAGCAUUUUCAUUUGCCCUUUUUGAGUCUUUACAAAAAGGGGUCAACACUGUCUGACCCAAAUCGUGUUGAGUGUUAUAAAUGUCUUUCUUUUGACCACGAACCUAUACAUUAUAUUUUCGGGUGUUUUACGGGUUCACCCGAAUGAUGGGGAAACAUCUCAAAGACUUCUUUGAGGCACUUGACCGUUUUUCACCAAACUUGAUGGACCUCUUCAGGAAGAAAAGGGGCCUCAGUGGACAACUUUUAACUGACCUUUUACGUCAGACAAAGGUAGGCUGACUUGUCAACCUGAAAUGUCUUGGCUCUCUAUCAUUCCCCCUUUUACCAAUUAAUGAACUAAUCUAAGGAAAAACAAUGAAUAAACUUAUAUGUAACUUUACUAAAAAACAAACAAAACAAAACUGACAAAUAGUUCCUACAUCUUCUGCCGUUCUAUCCAUCUCUCUCUACUGUCCAGGAAGUUUGUAAUACAAUAAUUAAAUUGUGCCGUUUUUUUUCUGGUUUCUAUUUAACCAUAUACAGUAAGAAUGUACUUAACUAUGUGUAUAUGAUCUUCCAGACCACUGAGCCAGACAUCAGGUGCCUUUGUCUUCGGGGACUGCCAGUCGUCUUGGGGGAUGACCUGCAUUCUUCAAAAGCUGCUUUAAGAUGCAACUGACAAGGACUUGUACAGUGAAACUCCAGUGGGAAUCCUCUGCAGUGACAAACAUCCUCCACUCAACCCAUCCAGAGUGAGCAUCAUCUUGGCCAACCUACCGCUGGCUUUCUGUGUCCUUUUUGGACUGAUCAAUGCGUUGCACUUGGAUUACCCCAAGUGCAUGAAAAGCACCUUCCACUUUAUUCAUUUGGUCAGGCUCAACUUUGGCAGAGGUGGGUGGAAACCCAAAUUCAAUCUUUGAAGAAGUAAGUGUGUGUUUAAAACAGGGGUCUUAACCCAUUGCUCUGGAUGGGAGUGUUUGGUUAUUUGUAAUGUUGCACUUUAAAAAUACCAUUACUGUUGGCACUGUUCGAUAUGCAAGUUUUAUUUAUGCAUUGCCACUGAUUUUCCAAUUUGAUUUCAUGCUGAUUGUGUAUGAUUAAUGUUUUUAGCAUGAAUGUAGUUUAAUUCCCAUUGCUACCUAUGUUGCAUAGCAUUGUUGAUGUUGUAGUUUAAUGCUAUACUGAUUCAGAACAGUAUUAUUAUUAUUAUUAUUAUGUUUUUAUUACAAACAUUUUUUAUUGACCAGAUAAAGACAAGUUUAAAAAACAUGUUAACAAGACAAAUUUCUGUGUAUGGAGACAAAUAAAUAAUCAAGAAUGUA